rnacentral:rRNA from 1 species
UACAGAGGGGGCAAGCGUUAUUCGGAAUUAUUGGGCGUAAAGGGCGCGUAGGCGGUCGUGCAAGUGGAAGGUGAAAUCCCUCGGCUCAACCGAGGAACUGCCUUUCAAACUGCAUGACUUGAGUCCGGGAGGGGUGAGUGGAAUUCCCAGUGUAGCGGUGAAAUGCGUAGAUAUUGGGAGGAACACCAGUGGCGAAGGCGGCUCACUGGACCGGAACUGACGCUGAGGCGCGAAAGCGUGGGGAGCAAACGGG